AGUGAACGCUGGCGGCAGGCCUAACACAUGCAAGUCGAGCGGCAGCGGGUCCUUCGGGAUGCCGGCGAGCGGCGGACGGGUGAGGAAUGCAUCGGAAUCUGCCCUGUCGUGGGGGAUAACCUAGGGUAACUUAGGCUAAUACUGCAUACGACCCACGGGUGAAAGCGGGGGAUCGCAAGACCUCGCGCGAUAGGACGAGCCGAUGUCCGAUUAGCUAGUUGGGGGGGGAAAGGCCCACCAAGGCGAAGAUCGGCAGCUGGUCUGAGAGGAUGAUCAGCCACACUGGGACUGAGAAACGGCCCGGACUCCUACGGGAGGCAGAGGAGGGAAAUAUUGGACAAGGGGCGCAAGCCUGAUCCAGCCAUGCCGCGUGGUUGAAGAAGGCCUUCGGGUUGUAAAGCCCUUUUGUCCGGGAAGAAAUCGUCUGGGCUAAUACCCCGGGCGGAUGACGGUACCGGAAGAAUAAGCACCGGCUAACUUCGUG
rnacentral:rRNA from 1 species